GAUUAACGCUAGCGGCAGGCAUAAUACAUGCAAGUUGAACGAGAUAAGUUUUAGCAAUAGAACUUUGAAAGUGGCGCACGGGUGCGUAACACGUAUGCAACCUACCUUUUACUGGGGAAUAGCCUCUCGAAAGAGAGAUUAAUACCCCAUAAUAUAUUGAUAAGGCAUCUUAUUAAUAUUAAAGUUACGGCGGUAAAAGAUGGGCAUGCGGCUGAUUAGGUAGUUGGUGAGGUUAUGGCUCACCAAGCCGACGAGGAGUAGGGGGUCUGAGAGGAUGUCCCCCCACACUGGUACUGAGACACGGACCAGACGCCGACGGGAGGCAGAAGUAGGGAAGAUUGGACAAUGGGCGAAAGCCUGAUCCAGCCAUGCCGCGUGCAGGAUGAAGGCCCUAUGGGUCGUAAACUGCUUUUGUACGGGAAGAAACCUCACUACGUGUAGUGAGUUGACGGUACCGUGAGAAUAAGGAUCGGCUAACUUCGUGCCAGCCGCCGCAGUAA
rnacentral:rRNA from 1 species